CGCUAGUAAUCGCGGAUCAGCACGCCGCGGUGAAUACGUUCCCGGGCCUUGUACACACCGCCCGUCACACCAUGGAAGUCUGCAAUGCCCGAAGCCGGUGGCCUAACCACUUAUGUGGAAGGAGCCGUCUAAGGCAGGGCAGAUGACUGGGGUGAAGUCGUAACAAGGUACC
rnacentral:rRNA from 1 species